CCUACGGGAGGCAGCAGUGAGGAAUAUUGGUCAAUGGACGAGAGUCUGAACCAGCCAAGUAGCGUGAAGGAUGACUGCCCUCUGGGUUGUAAACUUCUUUUAUAAAGGAAUAAAACGAGGCACGUGUGCCUUUUUGAAUGUACUUUAUGAAUAAGGAUCGGCUAACUCCGUGCCAGCAGCCGCGGUAAUACGGAGGAUCCGAGCGUUAUCCGGAUUUAUUGGGUUUAAAGGGAGCGUAGAUGGGUUGUUAAGUCAGUUGUGAAAGUUUGCGGCUCAAACGUAAAAUUGCAAUUGAUACUGGCAGUCUUGAGUACAGUUGAGGUAAGCGGAAUUCGUGGUGUAGCGGUGAAAUGCUUAGAUAUCACGAAGAACCCCGAUUGCGAAGGCAGCUUACUAAACUGUGACUGACAUUGAUGCUCGAAAGUGUGGGUAUCAAACAGGAUUAGAUACCCCAGUAGUC
rnacentral:rRNA from 1 species